rnacentral:rRNA from 1 species
UACGAAAGGGGCUAGCGUUGCUCGGAAUCACUGGGCGUAAAGCGCACGUAGGCGGACUCUUAAGUCGGUGGUGAAAUCCUGGAGCUCAACUCCAGAACUGCCUUCGAUACUGAGAGUCUCGAGUCCGGGAGAGGUGAGUGGAACUGCGAGUGUAGAGGUGAAAUUCGUAGAUAUUCGCAAGAACACCAGUGGCGAAGGCGGCUCACUGGCCCGGUACUGACGCUGAGGUGCGAAAGCGUGGGGAGCAAACAGG